ACAAGCUUUCGGGAGAACCUCCCUUUCUUAAGUCUGAAGAAAUGCUUCAGACUUGAGAAAGGGAGGUUCUCUUGAAAGCUUG